rnacentral:rRNA from 1 species
AAGUUUAUCGGCCGCGGUAUUUUGACCGUGCUAAGGUAGCGCAAUCACUUGUCUUUUAAAUGAGGACCUGUAUGAAUGGUGGAACGAGGGCUUAACUGUCUCCCCCACCCAGCCAGUGAAAUUGAUCUGCCCGUGCAGAAGCGGACAUAAAUAUACAAGACGAGAAGACCCUUUGGAGCUUAAGACAUAAGGUCAACUAAGUCAAGAUACUUUAUUACAAGAAAACAAACAAAACUAGAAGCUUGACUGUGGUCUUCGGUUGGGGCGACCUCGGGGGAAAACAUAGCCCCCAUGAAGACUGGGACAUCCUAGAACUAAGAGGGACACCUCUAAGUCACAGAACAUCUGACUAAAAGAUCCGAUAUUUUAUCGAUCAACGAACCAAGUUACCCUAGGGAUAACAGCGCAGUCCUCUUCAAGAGUCCAUAUCGACAAGGGGGUUUACGACCUCGAUGUUGGAUCAGGACAUCCUAAUGGUGCAGCCG